CCUACGGGUGGCUGCAGUCGAGAAUAUUUGGCAAUGGGCGCAAGCCUGACCAUGCGACGCCGCGUGGUUGAUGAAGUCCUUCGGGACGUAAAGACCUUUUAUGAGGGAGGCGUUACCUCAUGAAUAAGGGGCUCCUAACUCUGUGCCAGCAGGAGCGGUAAUACAGAGGCCCCAAGCAUUAUCCGGAAUCACUGGGCGUAAAGGGUGUGCAGGCGGUCGUGUUAGUCCUUCGUGAAAGCCUCGGACUCAAUCCGGGAACGCGGUGGAAACGGCACGACAGAGGACGCGAGAGGUAGAGGGAACUCAUGGUGUAGGGGUGAAAUCCGUUGAUAUCAUGGGGAACACCAAAUGCGAAGGCACUCUACUGGCGCUCCUGACGCUGAGACACGAAAGCGUGGGAAUCGAAUGGGAUUAGAUACCCUUGUAGUC
rnacentral:rRNA from 1 species